UUCUCCAACAUGGCCACCUCCACAUCGUGCACACACUGUGUAUUGUGUGGGAGGUCUCAGCUGGUGUGCCUUUCUUUCUGUCUGUCUUUUCGUGUCUCUCUAUGUGAGUCUGUCUGUCUCUGUGUGGGUCUUUAACCUGUGAAGAAGACGAAGGCCGAGCUGGGCCGUGCUGGGCCGUGCUGGACCGAGUCCUCCCUGAUAAAGGCGACGCCACCCCCACCUCUGCGCCAUGUGAUGGAUCUCUGUGGAUACUGACCCCCCAACACCAGGCAGGACAGUCAGGGACUCUGAGACCAGAUCGGAGACUGUGAAGGACAGAGACUUUAGUAGUCUUACUAAUUCCAUCAUACUCAGUUGCAGGCUGCACGAGCCAGACGGUGACGGAGGCUGACGGAGGUUCAGAGGUUUCCUGUGCCAACGGAGGAUUCAGUGUGGGACGCUGUGACCCAGAGACGCCGAGUCCCAGAGGAACCCAGUCCCAGAGACGUGUGAAGAAGACGAAGGCCGAGCUGGACCGUGCUGGACCGAGUCCUCCCUGAUGAAGGCGACG